rnacentral:rRNA from 1 species
GCAAUCUAUUUCGGUGAAACUGCGAAAUGUGCUCAUUAAAUCAGUUAUCGUUUAUAUGAAAUGGACUUACUACUUGGAUAACCGUGGUAAUUCUAGAGUUUUACAUGCUAAAAACCCCGACUUCCGAAGGGGUGUAUUUAUUAGAUAAAAAACCAAUGCCCUUCGGGGCUCCUUGCCCCCUUCAUAAUAACUUAACGAAUCGCAUGGCCUUGUGCCGGCGAUGGUUCAUUCAAAUUUCUGCCCUAUCAACUUUCGAUGGUAGAGUAGUGGUCUACCAUGGUUUCUACUGGUAACGGGGUAUUAGGGUUCUCUUCCGGAGAGGGAGCCUGAGAAACUGUUACCGAUCCGAGGAAGGCAGGAGGCGCGCAAUUUACCCU